AUUGAACGCUGGCGGCAGGCUUAACACAUGCAAGUCGAGCGAGCGGCGGACGGGUGAGUAAUGUCUGGGAAACUGCCUGAUGGAGGGGGAUAACUACUGGAAACGGUAGCUAAUACCGCAUACCAUCAGAUGUGCCCAGAUGGGAUUAGCUAGUAGGUGGGGUAAUGGCUCACCUAGGCGACGAUCCCUAGCUGGUCUGAGAGGAUGACCAGCCACAAGGGAACGAGAACACGGCCCAGACGCGUACGGGAGGCAGAAGUGGGGAAUAUGGCAAAAGGGGCGCAAGCCUGAAGCAGCCAGGCCGCGUGUAUGAAGAAGGCCUUAGGGGUGUAAAGAACUUUCAGCGGGGAGGGGUUACUAGAAGAAGAAGCACCGGCUAACUCCGGGCCAGCAGCCGCGGUAAUAC
rnacentral:rRNA from 1 species